CAGUAGCCACGGGAAUACGGAGGGUGCAAGCGUUAUCCGGAUUUAUUGGGUUUAAAGGGUCCGUAGGCGGACUUAUAAGUCAGUGGUGAAAGCCUGUCGCUUAACGAUAGAACUGCCAUUGAUACUGUAAGUCUUGAGUAUAUUUGAGGUAGCUGGAAUAAGUAGUGUAGCGGUGAAAUGCAUAGAUAUUACUUAGAACACCAAUUGCGAAGGCAGGUUACCAAGAUAUAACUGACGCUGAGGGACGAAAGCGUGGGUAGCGAACAGGAUUAGAUACCCCGGUAGUCCCUGUCUCUUAUAC
rnacentral:rRNA from 1 species